rnacentral:tRNA from 1 species
GUGGGUAUAGCUCAGUAGUAGAGCACAUGCCUAGCAUGCAGGAGGUCCUGGGUUCAAUCUCCAGUAUCUCCA